rnacentral:lncRNA from 1 species
GGACUAUAUAUUUACCUUGAAUGGAGGAGCUGUUUGGUAGAAAAAUUUCAAGCAACAUACUAUGAUCGAUUCUGUAUGCGAAGCGAAAUACAAUGCUAUUCUGUAUCACUAUCAUCUGGUAUGAGAGAUCGUGAACUGAGGUGAUGUUAAGCUUCAGAAGAUCGAUGGAAAGGAGAAUCUAGUCGAUCCAUUUACUAAAGCUCUCAGGAUCAAAAAGUUUGAUAACUUCAAAUGGAAGAUGGGUAUAAGAUAUUGCCUGGAUUGGCUUUAGUCCAAGGGGGAGUUGGUGGAAAUUGUAUCCUAAAGUCAAUCGUGUGACGAUUGAGUUUCUCUUUGUAUAUGAGUUAUUGAUAAAUGAAUAAAAAUUAUUCUAAUAUUUUUUAUCAUAAAGUUACUUCUUCUUUGAACUCUUAUGUUGUGAUGAAGUCCUUAGAACUAUGUUAGUGUACGAUAAAGAGAGGAUUUAUCAUAUAGUUCUUAAAUAUGUUCGCGAUCAAAUGAUACAUCAUUAUAGGAUGAUGAUGUUUAUCGAGUAGAGAUCGUUGUAUGCCAUAUAGAUUGAUUGUCCUAUUAACCAAGGAGUGUGGUGACACUGGUAUGGCAUACAGGUGAGAUGUAGGAGUACAUCGUCACUGAACAAGUGACUCACCUGCUGAGCGUUCUGUUGUCAAGAGCUGCUUACGAAGCAUAUGGAUAUAAGUGUCCCUCAGACCUAAGAUCACUAUAGUGACUUGCAGGUAACUCAUUGUGCUGUGGUGUCAGACUAUCUAAAUUUUUAAUGCUGU